UACGUAGGGUGCAAGCGUUGCCCGGAUUUAUUGGGCGUAAAGGGCGCGUAGGCGGCUCUGCACGUUCGUUGUGAAAUCGCCCGGCUCAACUGGGCGGGGUCAGCGGAUACGGCAGAGCUUGAGCAAGCUAGGGGGCAAUGGAAUUCCCGGUGUAGUGGUGGAAUGCGUAGAUAUCGGGAGGAACUCCGGCGGCGAAAGCGGUGCACUGGUGGAUUACUGACGCUGAGGUGCGAAAGCCAGGGGAGCAAACGGG
rnacentral:rRNA from 1 species